AAUCUCACAGACUUUCCUGCCUGGGCUGGCUCCAAACCGUGAUCCUCAGAUCUCAGCAUCCUGAGUAGCUACCAGUGCCCAGUGCCCAGCUAAACUUAAAGUUUUGAUAAGUAGUUACUUGAAGAAGGAAUGAAGACCUUGACAAAUAUAUCAUAGACUAAAAUCUGUUUAGAACUCUAAAUUGCUUUCCUAAGAGAGAAGAUAUAGAAUGUGAAAAGUAUGGAUAUAUGAAGCAAAAAAUCUGAAAUUCUCUGCUAUUCAAUAUCCAGAAUUUUAUGUUCUGAUACUUUUUCCUUAAAUCUUACAUCAAAGUUAUCUCUUUGAUAUUUAUCUUAUAAUCUAUUAUCAUCCUAAUUAUGUUAGGAUAAACUCAUGAAUGUAAAAUAAGGAAACAGACAAGAGGAAAUUAUUUCAAUAUUUAACUGCUGAAAAUAUUAUCUUCUUCAAAUAUUGAUAACUGUACUGUUCCUUUUUUUAGGGUGGGGGCAUGGGGUCAGGGGAUGAACUCAGGGCCAUAUGUAUGCCAAGCAAGUUCUCUAGUACUGAGUAUAUCCCCAACCCUAACAGUAUUCUUCUUUUGAGCCUGGAGCUAGCACUACCCACAGUAUUGUAGUAGUAGCU